CAGCCGCCGCGGUAAAACCAGCACCUCAAGUGGUCAGGAUGAUUAUUGGGCCUAAAGCAUCCGUAGCCUGCUUUGCCAGUUUUCGGUUAAAUCCAUACGCUCAACGUAUGGGCUGCCGGGAAUACUUCAAAGCUAGGGAGUGGGAGAGGUAGACGGUACUCGGUAGGAAGGGGUAAAAUCCUUUGAUCUAUUGAUGACCACCUGUGGCGAAGGCGGUCUACCAGAACACGUCCGACGGUGAGGGAUGAAAGCUGGGGGAGCAAACCGGAUUAGAUACCCGGGUAGUCCCAGCUGUAAACUAUGCAAACUCAGUGAUGCAUUGGCUUGAUGCCAAUGCAGUGCUGCAGGGAAGCCGUUAAGUUUGCCGCCUGGGAAGUACGUACGCAAGUAUGAAACUUAAAGGAAUUGGCGGGGGAGCAC
rnacentral:rRNA from 2 species